AGCGAACGCUGGCGGCAGGCUUAACACAUGCAAGUCGAGCGGGCCUUUCGGGGUCAGCGGCGGACGGGUGAGUAACGCGUGGGAACGUGCCCUCUGGUUCGGAAUAACCCAGGGAAACUUGAGCUAAUACCGGAUACGACCUUUUGGGGAAAGGCUUGCUGCCGGAGGAUCGGUCCGCGUCUGAUUAGCUAGUUGGUGAGGUAACGGCUCACCAAGGCGUCGAUCAGUAGCUGGUCUGAGAGGAUGAUCAGCCACACUGGGACUGAGACACGGCCCAGACUCCUACGGGAGGCAGCAGUGGGGAAUAUUGGACAAUGGGCGCAAGCCUGAUCCAGCCAUGCCGCGUGAGUGAUGAAGGCCUUAGGGUUGUAAAGCUCUUUUAUCCGGGACGAUAAUGACAGUACCGGAGGAAUAAGCCCCGGCUAACUUCGUG
rnacentral:rRNA from 1 species